CAGGCCUGAGGCAGAAGUCUGUUUUAAAGACUGUGACCGCCAGCAGUGAGCCCUGGGAAAGGGCAGAGAUUCACAGAGGAAAGCAGGUCGUUGUGGCGAUUGCAAUUUCUUGGAUCAACAUUGCUCUAAAGGAAGCUGACAGGAAAGGAAAAGAGGAGCCUAGAAACCCUGAGAUGUAAGAACCUGAGAGACUUGGUGACAAAUUGGAUGAAGGAUGUUCACAGGUUGUGCUGCAUGCUACAGCUUGGAGGAAGAGGAGCUCCCAAGGCUAGAGCAGGACACUCUUCAAGCCCUGGUUUUGGGGACUUAGAUUUGCAGCUGGAAGCUAAAUCCUACAGCUCUUGACAUUCUUUCCUGCUGAGCCCAAGAGCCUAGGCCUGUGCUGGCACACCAUCCCCUCUGAGGGCCAAUAGCAACGGAGCCAUCCCUGACGCCCCCCCCCCACUGCCCUUGGGGGUGAGGUUCCUUCAGCCUCCCUCAGAUGCUGCAACUGGCUGCCAAGUCUGGCUAGUGUGCACACGGGUGGCAGAGGGCCCAGAUAUCCCCUGCUUUGCUCCCUCAGGCUGCCGCUGUUCCCUGGGGCCCAAUUAAGCCAGUGCUUUGUCCCUGGGCAGCAGAGGCGGGUGUCCCUGGCACUCUUCGGCUCCACACUCCAUCUCUUCAUCAGCUGUCGCCAGACAGCCCACAUAAUGUGGGGAUUUCAUGCUCAAUAUUCUUGAUGAAAGUGGAACAUCAAAACCUCAGCGGGGUGGACACAUGGAGACUAAGUGAGGCUCUCGCCCAAGGAGCUAUCAUCUCAGCAAAAGAAUCAGAAAAGCUCCUUUAUCAGGCGGCCACGAACUCUUCUCAUCAUUAGUGCUGUUGUUGUUAUUGGCUUCCCUGCAUCUGGGUAGAAAUAAUGUUAUAUCCCUUGCUUUUGCACAUGUGUGUCUGUGUGUGGAAUCUCUUGGCUGAUAGCAAUCUCUGCCUCUUGUCAUACUAAAUAUUGAUCGGCACUGUUGGGAGACUCCAAGGCUUUAAUCUUCUGGCUGCCGCUCCCUGAACGCUGAUGUGGGUGUUGGGUUGGGGAGGAAGAUCAUAUUAUUUCUUCACACACCUGUUUUGCCACUUGCUUCACUCCUGCACAACACUUGGGCUAUUAAUGCCACGGGAAGUCGGCUUUCCUGUAAUGUCACUUUCUCUCUUCACUUUUCCUGGUGUGCCAGCCCCAGGCAGUCACCACCCACGCAGUGCCUUAGGCCCCAGGCAAAGG